rnacentral:rRNA from 1 species
UACGUAGGUGGCAAGCGUUGUCCGGAAUGACUGGGUGUAAAGGGUGUGUAGGUGGUCACUUAAGUGUAACGUGAAAUCCCUAGGCUUAACCCAGGAACUGCAUUACAUACUGGGUGACUAGAGUACUGAAAGGGCAAGUGGAACUCCAAGUGUAGCGGUAGAAUGCGUAGAUAUUUGGAAGAACAACGGAGGCGAAGGCGGCUUGCUGGGCAGCAACUGACACUGCAACACGAAAGCGUGGGGAUCAAAC